CACGUAGGGCGCAAGCGUUGUCCGGAAUUAUUGGGCGUAAAGAGCUCGUAGGCGGUCUGUUGCGUCCGCUGUGAAAACUCGGGGCUUAACCCCGAGCCUGCAGUGGAUACGGGCAGACUAGAGGUAGGUAGGGGAGAACGGAAUUCCUGGUGUAGCGGUGAAAUGCGCAGAUAUCAGGAGGAACACCGAUGGCGAAGGCAGGUCUCUGGGCAUUAACUGACGCUGAGGAGCGAAAGCAUGGGGAGCGAACAGG
rnacentral:rRNA from 1 species